ensembl:ncRNA F37B12.12 ncRNA
AGCGACUUGACCGCCAAAUGACUCAGUAUUCGGAAUGUAGAUGUUAAUUAGCUUAUCCAUUAGUUGGAGGACCACAUGACAAGGUCUAUCAAAGCAUGAU